GACGAACGCUGGCGGCGUGCUUAACACAUGCAAGACGAACGGAAAGGCCCUGCUUUUGUGGGGUGCUCGAGUGGCGAACGGGUGAGUAACACGUGAGUAACCUGCCCUUGACUUUGGGAUAACUUCAGGAAACUGGGGCUAAUACCGGAUAGGAGCUCCUGCUGCAUGGUGGGGGUUGGAAAGUUUCGGCGGUUGGGGAUGGACUCGCGGCUUAUCAGCUUGUUGGUGGGGUAGUGGCUUACCAAGGCUUUGACGGGUAGCCGGCCUGAGAGGGUGACCGGCGACAAGGGGACUGAGGUAGGGCCCAGACUGCAACGGGAGGCAGCAGUGGGGAGUAUUGCACAAUGGGCGGAAGCGUGAUGCAGCAACGCCGCGUGCGGGAUGACGGCCUUCGGGUUGUAAACCGCUUUCGCCUGUGACGAAGCGUGAGUGACGGUAAUGGGUAAAGAAGCACCGGCUAACUACGUG
rnacentral:rRNA from 1 species